GCAUAUCUAUUAAGCGGGAGGAAAAGAAACCAACAGGGAUUGCCCUAGUAACGGCGAGUGAAGCGGCAACAGCUCAAAUUUGAAAUCUGGCGUCUUCGGCGUCCGAGUUGUAAUUUGCAGAGGGCGCUUUGGCAUUGGCAGCGGUCCAAGUUCCUUGGAACAGGACGUCACAGAGGGUGAGAAUCCCGUACGUGGUCGCUAGCCUUUACCGUGUAAAGCCCCUUCGACGAGUCGAGUUGUUUGGGAAUGCAGCUCUAAAUGGGAGGUAAAUUUCUUCUAAAGCUAAAUACUGGCCAGAGACCGAUAGCGCACAAGUAGAGUGAUCGAAAGAUGAAAAGCACUUUGGAAAGAGAGUUAAAAAGCACGUGAAAUUGUUGAAAGGGAAGCGCUUGCAGCCAGACUUGCCUGUAGUUGCUCAUCCGGGUUUCUACCCGGUGCACUCUUCUAUGGGCAGGCCAGCAUCAGUUUGGGCGGUUGGAUAAAGGUCUCUGUCAUGUACCUCUCUUCGGGGAGAACUUAUAGGGGAGACGUCAUGCAACCAGCCUGGACUGAGGUCCGCGCAUCUGCUAGGAUGCUGGCGUAAUGGCUGUAAGCGGCCCGUCUUGAAACACGGACCAAGGAGUCUAACAUCUAUGCGAGUGUUUGGGUGUCAAGCCCGAGCGCGUAAUGAAAGUGAACGGAGGUGGGAACCUUUCGGGGUGCACCAUCGACCGAUCCUGAUGUCUUCGGAUGGAUUUGAGUAAGAGCAUAGCUGUUGGGACCCGAAAGAUGGUGAACUAUGCUUGAAUAGGGUGAAGCCAGAGGAAACUCUGGUGGAGGCUCGCAGCGGUUCUGACGUGCAAAUCGAUCGUCAAAUUUGGGCAUAGGGGCGAAAGACUAAUCGAACUAUCUAGUAGCUGGGUUCCUGCGA
rnacentral:rRNA from 1 species